rnacentral:rRNA from 1 species
UACGUAGGGGGCGAGCGUUGUCCGGAGUUACUGGGCGUAAAGCGCUUGUAGGCGGUCCACCAAGUUUGGGGUGACAGUUGCCGACUUAAUCGGCAAAGUGCCUCAAAGACUGGCGGACUUGAGGGCCACAGAGGGACAUGGAACUCCAGGUGUAGUGGUGAAAUGCGUAGAUAUCUGGAAGAACACCAAAGGCGAAGGCAGUGUCCUGGGUGGGCGCUGACGCUGAGAGGCGAAAGCCAGGGGAGCGAACGGG